AGCAGUAGCCACGGUAAUACGUAGGUGGCAAGCGUUGUCCGGAAUUAUUGGGCGUAAAGCGCGCGCAGGUGGUUCCUUAAGUCUGAUGUGAAAGCCCACGGCUCAACCGUGGAGGGUCAUUGGAAACUGGGGGACUUGAGUGCAGAAGAGGAAAGUGGAAUUCCAAGUGUAGCGGUGAAAUGCGUAGAUAUUUGGAGGAACACCAGUGGCGAAGGCGACUUUCUGGUCUGUAACUGACACUGAGGCGCGAAAGCGUGGGGAGCAAACAGGAUUAGAUACCCCAGUAGUCCCUGUCUCUUAUAC
rnacentral:rRNA from 1 species